UACGGAGGGUGCAAGCGUUAAUCGGAAUUACUGGGCGUAAAGCGCACGCAGGUGGCUGAGUCAGUCGAUUGUGAAAGCCCUGGGCUUAACCUGGGAAUUGCAGUCGAUACUACUCAGCUAGAGUAUGGGAGAGGGCAGUGGAAUUCCCGGUGUAGCGGUGAAAUGCGUAGAUAUCGGGAGGAACAUCAGUGGCGAAGGCGGCUGCCUGGCCUAAUACUGACACUCAGGUGCGACAGCGUGGGGAGCAAACAGG
rnacentral:rRNA from 1 species